rnacentral:rRNA from 1 species
UACGUAGGGGGCUAGCGUUAUCCGGAAUUACUGGGCGUAAAGGGUGCGUAGGUGGUUUCUUAAGUCAGAGGUGAAAGGCUACGGCUCAACCGUAGUAAGCCUUUGAAACUGGGAAACUUGAGUGCAGGAGAGGAGAGUGGAAUUCCUAGUGUAGCGGUGAAAUGCGUAGAUAUUAGGAGGAACACCAGUUGCGAAGGCGGCUCUCUGGACUGUAACUGACACUGUGGCACGAAAGCGUGGGGAGCAAACAGG